rnacentral:rRNA from 1 species
GAUGAGCGCUAGCGGCAGGCUUAACACAUGCAAGUCGAGGGGUAACAGGGUAGCAAUACUGCUGACGACCGGCAAAACGGGUGCGGAACACGUACACAAUCUGCCUUUGUCUGGGGGAUAGCCCGAAGAAAUUCGGAUUAACACCCCAUAUUAUAAUUAGGUGGCAUCACCUUGAUUAUUAAAACUCCGGUGGACAAAGAUGAGUGUGCGUCCCAUUAGCUAGUUGGUAGGGUAACGGCCUACCAAGGCGACGAUGGGUAGCUGGUGUGAGAGCACGACCAGCCACAACGGGCACU